CUACGGGACGCUCCAGUGAGGAAUAUUGCACAAUGGGGGGAACCCUGAUGCAGCAGCGCCGCGUGGAGGAUGACGCAUUUCGGUGUGUAAACUCCUUUUAUAUGUCAAGAAAAUGACGGUAGCAUAUGAAUAAGCACCGGCUAACUCCGUGCCAGCAGCCGCGGUAAUACGGAGGGUGCAAGCGUUACUCGGAAUCACUGGGCGUAAAGGACGCGUAGGCGGGUUGGAAAGUCAGGUGUGAAAUCCUACAGCUUAACUGUAGAACUGCACUUGAAACUUCUAAUCUAGAGUAUGGGAGGGGGAGAUGGAGUUAGUGGUGUAGGGGUAAAAUCCGUAGAUAUCACUAGGAAUACCUAAAGCGAAGGCGAUCUCCUGGAACAUUACUGACGCUAAGGCGUGAAAGCGUGGGGAGCAAACAGGAUUAGAUACCCUCGUAGUC
rnacentral:rRNA from 1 species